rnacentral:lncRNA from 10 species
UUUAAUAUUACAAAAAGAAAUCAGAUACCUAAAACAUUAAAUAUGCACUGAAAAUUAUUUACCAAAAACUGAAACAAGUAAAAAACAUUCCCUUAUUUGAAAAAUGCCUUUCAUUAGAAGCCUUAUGAUUUAGCUAAAAUGCACAGAAGAUAAGUUAUUGCCAAGUGCUUGUAGGAUGCCACUUGAAAAGUUCCUGUUUGAGAGUCCAGGUCUUAUUUCCUCCCAAGAAAAAUUUAGUUAUCACCAUUUUAUAUUUUACUUUGUAAGUUAAUCUUUUACUUGGGUAUCUGAUAUAAUCUCAUUUUUCUUUUUUAUAUAAUUGCUACUAACUUUGAAAAAAACACUGCUUAUUUCAAAGAGAAAUAAUGUUUAAAAGAUGUGAAGCAUUUAAUCCUUGAAUGCUGGAAACACUUUUAAAGUAUUGUAAGUACAUCUGUAUUACAUUACACACAGGGAAAAGAAUGUAUGAAUUCUAUGAUCUGUGGGCACUAAGGUGGCUGGUUUAGAAAAACAGUAUUUUGCAUUUCAAGUUUCUUUUCAACAUAAAGAAUAUUCUGCAAUUUUAAAAAGAAUAAUUCCAGGCUGGGGUGUGUGGUCAGGGAAGCAUAAGUAAAGUUUUGGUUUUACAGUUGUUCUCUAACUUUAGUAAGCUUGGCUCUGCAUUUUGUUAAGCACUUUUAUAUUUUUCCUGAUUUGAAAACGAUUGCGUGAGACAAACUCAGAACAUGGAGAAAUCACUACAUCACAUUUCUUAAUGAGUGUCCUGCAUGUCUUACUCAGCUAUGAUUAUGGUGCAGAUAAUUUUUUACUAAUUAAGAAAUACCAAAGUUUGUGAAUGAUUUACUCUUAAAAUUACAGCAAAUUUAAAUGUAUCCCAAUGAUAACCUCACUCUUGAUCACUUGUGUUCCAGUGUGCUUUUUUGAGCAGGAGAUAAAAGGAUGGAGUUACAGCCAUUAGGCUGGAUCUCAUGAGAUAUGUGUUUUGCAUGUGAAUAUCACCUGUCAUUGGUAGAGAUGAAUAAAAAUGCUGGAGAACUUCUGCACUAGACUGGUUGACAUGUUCUCAGCUUUUUCUUCUUUGACAUGAAAUGACAUUAACAUGCCAACAUAUUCUCAUAUGUACCCGCUAGUGAGCUAGCUAGAAUUCCACCCCUUUCACUCCCACCCCAGAAAGCAAGCAAGAAUGAAUGUUCUGGGGAUGCAUUUUCAGCCACCUCAGACUUAUUUUUUUAAAGUAAUGAUUUGAGAAUUUCAUGCUUUAAUGACCAUUAGCAUCUAAUUACCUGUGACACAUUUGGCAGCUAUGUCACGAUAAACUCUGUAUUUCUUAAAUUUUACAUGGCAAUAUAAAUUUCUGGAAACCAGUUAUAAUUAGAAUAAUUGACUUUUUUCCAAAAGCCAAUUUUGUAACCAGUUAUUUUAUUGCCAUGUUACUAGAAAUUGUCAUAAGGUGAUUGGUUGUCUUUAAGGCUCAAAAUAAAUAUAUUUGAGGAAUUCAAAUAGUUAGCUCAUCAUUCUUUUAUUCAAGAAAAAUAACAACAUAAAUAUUAUUAUUAUUUUAUUUUUUUAUUUUUUUGAGGCAGAGUUUCACUCUUCUUGCCCAGGCUGGAGUGCAGUGGCACGAUCUUGGCUUACUGCAGCCUCCGCCUCCUGGAUUCAAGCGAUUCUCCCACCUCAGCCUCCCGAGUAGCUGUGAUUACAGGCAUGUGCCACCAUGCCGAGCUAAUUUUGUAUUUUUAGUAGAGAUGGGGAUUCUCCAUGUUGCUCACGCCUGUAAUCCCAGCACUUUGGGAGGCCAAGGCAGGCAGAUUACGAGGUCAGGAGAUCGAGACCAUCCUAGCUAACACUGUGAAACCCCGUCUCUACUAAAAAUACAAAAAAAAUUAGCCAGGCAUGGUGGCACGCACCUAUAGUCCCAGCUACUUGGGAGGCUGAGGCAGGAGAAUCGCUUGAGCCUGGGAGAUGGAGGUUGCAGUGAGCCGAGAUUGUGCCACUGCACUCCAGCCUGGGCAACAAAGCGAGACUCCAUAUC